GGGUUGUGAGGUUAAGCGACUAAGCGUACACGGUGGAUGCCCUGGCAGUCAGAGGCGAUGAAGGACGUGCUAAUCUGCGAUAAGCGUCGGUAAGGUGAUAUGAACCGUUAUAACCGGCGAUUUCCGAAUGGGGAAACCCAGUGUGAUUCGUCACACUAUCAUUAACUGAAUCCAUAGGUUAAUGAGGCGAACCGGGGGAACUGAAACAUCUAAGUACCCCGAGGAAAAGAAAUCAACCGAGAUUCCCCCAGUAGCGGCGAGCGAACGGGGAGGAGCCCAGAGCCUGAAUCAGUGUGUGUGUUAGUGGAAGCGUCUGGAAAGGCGCGCGAUACAGGGUGACAGCCCCGUACACAAAAAUGCACAUGCUGUGAGCUCGAUGAGUAGGGCGGGACACGUGGUAUCCUGUCUGAAUAUGGGGGGACCAUCCUCCAAGGCUAAAUACUCCUGACUGACCGAUAGUGAACCAGUACCGUGAGGGAAAGGCGAAAAGAACCCCGGCGAGGGGAGUGAAAAAGAACCUGAAACCGUGUACGUACAAGCAGUGGGAGCACAGAGCAAUCUGUGUGACUGCGUACCUUUUGUAUAAUGGGUCAGCGACUUAUAUUCUGUAGCAAGGUUAACCGAAUAGGGGAGCCGAAGGGAAACCGAGUCUUAACUGGGCGUUAAGUUGCAGGGUAUAGACCCGAAACCCGGUGAUCUAGCCAUGGGCAGGUUGAAGGUUGGGUAACACUAACUGGAGGACCGAACCGACUAAUGUUGAAAAAUUAGCGGAUGACUUGUGGCUGGGGGUGAAAGGCCAAUCAAACCGGGAGAUAGCUGGUUCUCCCCGAAAGCUAUUUAGGUAGCGCCUCGUGAAUUCAUCUCCGGGGGUAGAGCACUGUUUCGGCAAGGGGGUCAUCCCGACUUACCAACCCGAUGCAAACUGCGAAUACCGGAGAAUGUUAUCACGGGAGACACACGGCGGGUGCUAACGUCCGUCGUGAAGAGGGAAACAACCCAGACCGCCAGCUAAGGUCCCAAAGUCAUGGUUAAGUGGGAAACGAUGUGGGAAGGCCCAGACAGCCAGGAUGUUGGCUUAGAAGCAGCCAUCAUUUAAAGAAAGCGUAAUAGCUCACUGGUCGAGUCGGCCUGCGCGGAAGAUGUAACGGGGCUAAACCAUGCACCGAAGCUGCGGCAGCGACGCUUAUGCGUUGUUGGGUAGGGGAGCGUUCUGUAAGCCUGCGAAGGUGUGCUGUGAGGCAUGCUGGAGGUAUCAGAAGUGCGAAUGCUGACAUAAGUAACGAUAAAGCGGGUGAAAAGCCCGCUCGCCGGAAGACCAAGGGUUCCUGUCCAACGUUAAUCGGGGCAGGGUGAGUCGACCCCUAAGGCGAGGCCGAAAGGCGUAGUCGAUGGGAAACAGGUUAAUAUUCCUGUACUUGGUGUUACUGCGAAGGGGGGACGGAGAAGGCUAUGUUGGCCGGGCGACGGUUGUCCCGGUUUAAGCGUGUAGGCUGGUUUUCCAGGCAAAUCCGGAAAAUCAAGGCUGAGGCGUGAUGACGAGGCACUACGGUGCUGAAGCAACAAAUGCCAUGCUUCCAGGAAAAGCCUCUAAGCAUCAGGUAACAUCAAAUCGUACCCCAAACCGACACAGGUGGUCAGGUAGAGAAUACCAAGGCGCUUGAGAGAACUCGGGUGAAGGAACUAGGCAAAAUGGUGCCGUAACUUCGGGAGAAGGCACGCUGAUAUGUAGGUGAAGCGACUUGCUCGUGGAGCUGAAAUCAGUCGAAGAUACCAGCUGGCUGCAACUGUUUAUUAAAAACACAGCACUGUGCAAACACGAAAGUGGACGUAUACGGUGUGACGCCUGCCCGGUGCCGGAAGGUUAAUUGAUGGGGUCAGCGCAAGCGAAGCUCUUGAUCGAAGCCCCGGUAAACGGCGGCCGUAACUAUAACGGUCCUAAGGUAGCGAAAUUCCUUGUCGGGUAAGUUCCGACCUGCACGAAUGGCGUAAUGAUGGCCAGGCUGUCUCCACCCGAGACUCAGUGAAAUUGAACUCGCUGUGAAGAUGCAGUGUACCCGCGGCAAGACGGAAAGACCCCGUGAACCUUUACUAUAGCUUGACACUGAACAUUGAGCCUUGAUGUGUAGGAUAGGUGGGAGGCUUUGAAGUGUGGACGCCAGUCUGCAUGGAGCCGACCUUGAAAUACCACCCUUUAAUGUUUGAUGUUCUAACGUUGACCCGUAAUCCGGGUUGCGGACAGUGUCUGGUGGGUAGUUUGACUGGGGCGGUCUCCUCCUAAAGAGUAACGGAGGAGCACGAAGGUUGGCUAAUCCUGGUCGGACAUCAGGAGGUUAGUGCAAUGGCAUAAGCCAGCUUGACUGCGAGCGUGACGGCGCGAGCAGGUGCGAAAGCAGGUCAUAGUGAUCCGGUGGUUCUGAAUGGAAGGGCCAUCGCUCAACGGAUAAAAGGUACUCCGGGGAUAACAGGCUGAUACCGCCCAAGAGUUCAUAUCGACGGCGGUGUUUGGCACCUCGAUGUCGGCUCAUCACAUCCUGGGGCUGAAGUAGGUCCCAAGGGUAUGGCUGUUCGCCAUUUAAAGUGGUACGCGAGCUGGGUUUAGAACGUCGUGAGACAGUUCGGUCCCUAUCUGCCGUGGGCGCUGGAGAACUGAGGGGGGCUGCUCCUAGUACGAGAGGACCGGAGUGGACGCAUCACUGGUGUUCGGGUUGUCAUGCCAAUGGCACUGCCCGGUAGCUAAAUGCGGAAGAGAUAAGUGCUGAAAGCAUCUAAGCACGAAACUUGCCCCGAGAUGAGUUCUCCCUGACUCCUUGAGAGUCCUGAAGGAACGUUGAAGACGACGACGUUGAU
rnacentral:rRNA from 1 species